rfam:Shinella sp. HZN7 plasmid pShin-05, complete sequence.
GGCGUAUUUUGCCCAGGCGGAGCUCGACCGCCCACUGAAGCGAUGAUUUCCUUCAUCGACGAACACCGUGUCGAUACCGGAUCAAUACUCCCCAGAAGUGCCG